UACGUAGGGUGCGAGCGUUGUUCGGAUUUACUGGGCGUAAAGCGUGCGCAGGCGGCCCGUUAAGACAGGUGUGAAAUCCCUGGGCUCAACCUAGGAAUUGCGCUUGUGACUGGCGGGCUCGAGUACGGUAGAGGGGGGUGGAAUUCCUGGUGUAGCAGUGAAAUGCGUAGAGAUCAGGAGGAACACCGAUGGCGAAGGCAGCCCCCUGGGCCUGUACUGACGCUCAUGCACGAAAGCGUGGGGAGCAAACAGG
rnacentral:rRNA from 1 species